CUCUCCUUGCAUUCAUCUUCCCCCUCCUGCCCCCCUCCCCCAUUCUUUUCCUGCCUACACUCUGACUCUAGUCCCUUCUCAACCUUGCUUCCCAAGCCCCAGAUAAACUCUAUUCUAUACUAGCAGGCCUGGCAGGGCUGUCAGCCACUCAAAGCACCAGUAAAAGGAAGUGACUUUUGUUGCUGUGUGGAGAUAGUAGUAGGCAGGACAGGUGUUCCGCAGGCAAGCUUCUGCCAGACAUCCUUUCAACAGUCUCCAGUGUCCAACUGCCAAGGACUCGGUGUUAGGCAUUAAAUGUAGGACAUUGAACAUGCCGGACAUGCUUUGAUACAGAGCUCCAUCUCCCACCACUCCAGUCUUCAUCGAGGCAUUUCAUAAAGGCCCUACAGGAUCCAGAAUGUCUGUUUGUUUCCUGGAGCUCUGUGACUUUCAGCUCAACCAUGACCUGCCCAGAGGCAAGGUAGCCAGUGAAAGGAGCCACUCUCCCUAGGCUGGGGACAGACUGUCAAAGAGGGAGGGUCAGAGCAUCUCAUCAGCAUCUCUAGUGACGUGAAAACUUCAUUGGCUAAGUUCCAACUCUUGGACCUUCCCUGUCUUCACGAAGUCCCCUCCAUCAACACCCUUGAUCUGCUUUGUGGAUGGUCUUGAGCUUUGGGCCACCUUCUCUGCGACUGCAGCCUCUCUGUCUGGCCGUUACGCUCGUAUCUGGGUAUAGGCACCAGGCACGUGUGGUAUAUGGUGUAUAUCCUCUGGUGUACAGAGAAUGAAGAAAGGGGCUUUCUAUAAA